GGAUGGAUUUGCAUUUGGCUGCAUAGCACGUUCCAACCACCAGUGAGUCACACAAACAGCUUGCACGUGGUUUGUAAAGGACAGCACUGAUGGUCCCCAGGCUUGGAAUGGACACUUCUGCAGACUUCAUCACACUCACCAUCAUUGCUCAAGAUCCCUUCCUUGCAAAGAUAUCAGAGUAGCUUUAAAAAGGACCACCGCUUAUGUGGAAAAUGAGGACCAUGUGUUUGUUGGAGUUUGAAAUGAGUCAUCAUUAUCUAUCAACAUUGAAAAUUAUGGUCAGUCUCAACAUGUGUGGAACACACACACAGAACGUAUUGAAGAUUCUUAUUAAAGAUUUCCGAAGGGUGGACACCAGGAGACAAAGGUGAGAUGUCACGGUCGCCUGACGGGCCGAGGCCGCCCUGCCGCUGGGGAUCCGCACUGAGGCCCUGCUGCCCCGGAGCCGCGUUCCCGCAAGCCCUGAGGAAAGGGGUGGAGUUCUUCCCGGAGGCCGAGGCCGGAGGAGACCGAGACCGGAAGAUGACAGCCUUGGAAGGAGGGGUGGUGUCCGUGGCAUCGGGGUCAAAGGCCGGCGUGGACGGUGGUACUGCAGGGGCCCUGCCCACCAGAGUGGGGGCGACUGGAGGCGCCGUGGUGGGAAGGCUCGAAAGACAGGGGCCCUGGGAAGGGGCUCUCUGCUGCUGCCGCCCGCAGGGCUCCGCAGUGUGGGCCGCCAGGUGGAGUUCCCGCGCCAUGGAAACUGGCCUUAAAGGAGGAAGAAGGUCAGCAGGGACAGGCAGAGGGCAGCUGGGGGUUGUGAGUGUCAUGGAGGAGGGUGGAGGGACAGGUGGGAUCAGAGGUCCAGCACCCAUGUCAGGGAAGGAGUCAGCAGUGGGGAGAGGAACCGGGAUGUGGAAAGGGUGA
rnacentral:lncRNA from 1 species